AAAAUUCCGAUGAUGAAAGUGAUACAGUAUAUCUAGUACGUGAACUGUUUGGGUUUUUUUCUAAAAUUUAAUCUUUGCAGUUAAUGUACUCUGUAUACUAAAAAUUCAUAUUGAUUUUGGAUAGAAUUUCACAUUUAAAAACAAAUAGAUAUGCGCCAAGUCCUUAGGAAUCAACCCCACCCCCACCCCUCCACACGGGACUUUUUUUUGGAUGAUUGGACCGUAUCCCCCUUUUUCAUCUGUCUCCCUACUUUGAAGUUUUUUUCCCAACGCCAUGACAUAAAUAGAUAAAUAAAUAAAAUGCAAAAAUAAAAACGAAAGAUAUAUAUGUAUUCGGAUUGGCAUGUUCCACUUUGUCCGGGUUGAAAUCCCCGAGGAUGCAAAUGUACAUUACGCCGCACUGUUUGCAGUACGUACAUGGUACAGGUGUACCGCAUAGGUAUGUAGCUACUAAGACUAUAAACCAAACAGAAUAUCAUAUGUAAAACUAUUACUCUGAAUGCAUUUUACUUGUUUACAAUGUAGCCUGUCGGGGUGUGGUGCAUGUCACACGCGUUGUUUACACGUGCACUUUAGGUGGCAGUGGAGGAAAUUCGAACCAUGUAUGGAUUAUUGUCUCCUGAUAACUUUGGCAGUUAACUUUUGAUUUCAAUCUACUUUUUAAGAAUAAUAUAACCCUCGCUAAUCAUUGCCAACCUGCAUUUCGAUCUUGGCAGAAUGAUCUUCAGCUACAAUUCAAAAUUAAGGGGUGAUGUUGUGUACUGAGUUUUUCUUGAUUGUUUACAUCUGUGACUGUUUAUGUGAUGUAUCAACUGAUCAAGCUGUACAGUGUCAUGACAUAUAGUGGCAUAGCUUCCAUUUAUGUACUUGCGCAUCAUUUUGUCAAAAGAAGAAAAUUCUAAAAUGAUAAUUAAGAUUUUUAACAUGUAUAUGAAUAUACAUGUAUGUGUAUGUUUGAUUUUAGUAUAAUACCUGUAGAGAAUAUUUCAGUAGUAUGAAGUGCCACACAUUUAGACGCAUGCAUGUGGUGUUUAAAGGUCUCAUCUGAAAGACCAGCAACUUUCUCUUUUGAAUGCUAAAUAUGAUGAUGGAGCAUUCACCUCACUACCUACAUUUUCACCCUAAAUAAAGUACAAGCAUGGCUCGAAACCAUGAUUUCUUGAUCCUGUUACCAGUCUUCACGAAAAACUUUGUAAACUACAGGCCCUUCGGGCCUCCCAGUAUAAUAAUUGUGCAAGCCCGAACAAUAUUUUGCAGGCCCAAAAUGUUUAUUUUCUAAUUUGAUCUCUUGUUAUUUGCUGAUUCUACUCUAUAGACACAUGCACAGUUCUUUUACUGUAGGAAAAUACAGGUCAAGAUGAUCAUAGUUAAAGAACAACUGACAUUAAAAGGAUUAUAUUAUUUUUCAACAUAUUAAUCCAGUAUAUGCGAAAGUUUUUGGACCACACAGGACAUUCGGUCCAGUGUAAUCAAUGAACACACCGGACCGAACCAAAUUUUGUCAGACCGAAAAACCUAAUGUAAAAAAGUGAAACACGUGAAAAUGCAAAACCAAGUGAAUCUUAUUUAUUAUACUAGUUAUACUAUUCCAGGAAUCCUUCCCGUAUAAUACUUUAGACAGUCCAUGCGGUUUUAAUCAAUUCAUUUACGUAUUUGGAUGUGUGCUAUUUUUUUUACUUAUAACAAACUCCGCAUCAAGAUAGUAAAGCUCAAAACUGGACAUUGAGACAUCUGACAUUCCGGUCCGGUGUAAAAAAUGAUGCAUCGGACCUGAGUCACUGCAUAUCGGUCAGGUCCGACGGUCCGAUGUCUUUCGCAUAGACUGAUUAAUCUCGCAGAUACAUCAGCAGCUCAUGUUCAACUCUGUUUUGUAUACACCACGUACAAAACAUUUUUUAAAUGUUAGCCAAGGCCUACCCUCGCAGUGUUCGAAAUUGGUUUAAAACUUGGUAUAGACCACAGGUCUAUGCCAAAAUAAGAUGACUUAGACCUCAUCGAAUUGGCAUAGACCACAACAUUGAAAAAAUAAUAACACAAAUUUAAAACAUUUUCAUUUACUUCUAAUAUACUUAGUAAGUGUAUUUUCUUUCCAUUUCUGUAAUAUCAUCCUUUCCUCAUAAUGUUUAUCAGACGUCGACUGACCAUGCAAGGCCCUCUUGGAUAACUUUAUUGCUUUAAAUUUAGAAAAUUGGCAUAGACAAUUAGGUCUAUCUCAAUUACAGUUGGCAUAGACCAGUGCCAUUUGACAUAUACUCGGUCUAUGGUUAAUUUUGAACACUGCCCUCGGUCCAAUGGGGCAUGAAUUUUCGUUUUUUUCUCCUCGUACGACAGUUUUUUUGGGGUUUUUUUAUCGGAUGGUUGUGAUUGUGAAAUACGCUUGGGUGGUUUUGAAUUUCCCGGACGAGCCCCCUCCCUAUACUUCAGAAAAGGCAGCAUGGUUGAUAAUUUUUCUAUGCGAAAUUUGACUACUAAGUCAUGACAUUUAGUCUGAGUCAAUCUCACGCUUUAUUUGUAAUAUAUACAGAACAUAUAAGAAAACAUUUACAGGCCCAUCGGACUCCAGGGUUUAAUAUUUUAAGAAGCCCGAUCCCGAUUUUACUGGCCUCGGGCAUCAGGCCACUGGUUAAUGUCGAAGACUGUGUUACCACUGAGCUACCAUGACCAAUUUUUAUACGCCCGUCUUAAGACGGGACGUAUUAUGGUAUGGUGUGUCUGUCCGUCCGUCUGUUAGCUUUUUCGUGUCCGACCCGUAACUUAAAUACUACAAGGCCUAGAAUCAUCAAACUUUGUCUGUAGAUACAUCUUGGGUAGAAGGUGUGUCGCACAUUAAAACCAGGUCACUGUGACUUUUAAUUAAGAAGAUAUGGCCAUAUAUGGCAAAAACUUGUCCGUCUGUUAGCUUUUUCGUGUCCGACUCGUAACUUAAAUACUACAAGGCCUAGAAUCAUCAAACUUUGUCUGUAGAUACAUCUUGGGUAGAAGGUGUGUCGCACAUUAAAACCAGGUCACUGUGACUUUUCAUUAAGAAGAUAUGGCCAUAUAUGGCAAAAACUUGUCCGGCUCAUAACUUGAAAACUAUUAGACCUAGAAUCACCAAAAUUGGUCAACUAAUGCGUCUUAGGUAGAAGGUGUGUCGCAUGCUACUUUAAGGUCACUGUGACAUUUAAUUAAGGUGAUAUAAAAAAAAAAUGUUUUAAUGGGUACUAUCUAUACUGUUAACAAUAUGUGACGGGCGUAUCAUUUGCCAUGGCGGUGCACUUUAUUUAACAUGAAUUCAUAGCUAAAAAAAAAUUAUUACUAAUUUUUUGGUUAAUUCCAUAAAUAUAUUAUUCCGCUCUCUAGACACAAUUCUGGGUUACCCCCCUGCCUUUGGGGGUAUAAGCACCUCAUUUCUUUCAGAAUGGCACAAUGUCAGGAGAGCUUUUGUUAUUUGUUAUACUCUUAAUGUUGAUGGCAUGCAUCUAUGAACAACAGGAUAAUUUUUUAGAUUAUUAUUUCUGAUAUCAUAUUUGUAAAUUGUUUAUGAGGGGUUGUUAAAAGUUUGUGGACAAAAGGACGCACUUAUUAAAAAUUCAGAGUUAUCGUAAGUGAAAAAUAUAGGAGAUGUGUAACAAGAUUGUAUAUUUGAAGAUUUUAAUUUUAAUUAAUUUUUAUAAGUAUUGAUUUCAGAUACAUGUAUGACAUUGCAUGCUUGGUGGGGUGGGGGGGGGGGGGGGGGGGGGGGGGGGGCUACAGUUAGAUAAUAUUCUGGUCAGCACAUUCGAUAAACUACAUGGAAUUCAUUAAAUCACUUCUUUUUCUUUCAGUGGUCUUCAACUUUUAAUCUCCAAGAAGGAAAUGUAAUUAAAAGAUGAAUAAAGUAUCCCUAAGAAUACCAGAAGAAAGGCUAUGUGUUGAGAAAAACAGCCCUUCCUCAGUACCUCAGAACUAGAUGAUAGCCCUUAAUUGUUACUUUAUGCUGAAUAUGACACAGUAUAGAAGAUCUGAUCAUGAAGAAGUAACACCAUUGAUACACUUGCCAACUGCCAAAAUUACUUUCUGAUAGUAUGACGAGAUUAGAAGAUAUCAUGGUGUAGUCAUGACACAAACUGCAAAUCAAAGAAUUAAUUGUCUUCCCCAGAGGAUGAACAGAGCACGAUGGCUUCACAUGGAUAACAUUUCCUUUCGAGUUUUGAAAUUAAUUUGUCAGAAUGUUAUGCAUCAUUAUCAACAGAAAAGAACUUCAUAGGUAGACCAAAGCUGACAUGGGAUGAGAUCCUAGAACAAGACCUAGAGUUUACAGGAUUGGAUAGGAUCAAUCCACUGGGUCGCCAAGUGUGGAAGUACAAACUUCAACCUCGACAGGACAGCCAGGCCUCACCCUUGCAAAAAGAUUAAUUUGGCCUGGAUAGUCAAAAUGAGUGAUGAUGAUUGAUAUCAAGGUCUGACACUGGAAGCUCAGUAAGGGUAGAUGCUGGCAAUGGAGCUGUUUAGCAAUAAAACAAACAAGUUUAACAUUAAACAUGUUUGUAUACUUUUUUGGCUCACCUGAGCCAAAGGCUCAAGUGAGCUUUUCUGAUCACCUUUGCCUGUCGUCUGUCUGUUUAUAAACUUUUCACAUUUUCAUUUUCUUCUCCAGAGUGAACCACUGGGCCAGUUUCAAUCAAACUUGGUAUGCAUCAUCAAUAGAUAAAGGGUAUUCAAGUUUGUUCAUAUAAAGGGUCAUGCACCCUUCAAAAAGGAAAUAAUCAUGGAAAUGCAAAAAUAGGGUGGGGUCAUUUAAAAAACCUUUUCAAGAACCACUGGACCAGGAAAGUUGAAUUCACACGAAAGGUUCCUGUUUUGUGCAAAUCAUGGUCUCUGGGGGUAGGGUGGGGUCACAAUAGAGAAUCAAAGUUUUACAUUCAUAUAUAGUGCAUAUUCAAGUUUGUAAAAAGCUCACAGGGGUAGGGUGGGGGUCACAAUAGGGGAUUUAAGUUUUACAUGUGAAAUAUAUACAAGGAAAAUCUUUUAAAAUCUUCUCCUCAAAAACUAGAUGCAGAACCGUAGCUCUUUGAAAAGAGAGCUUCAGAUGAACCCCUUAUAAAAAAAACUUCAAUUUAUGGCAGAGAAAAAAAGUGCAUGUUUAAGUCCCUCUAUCACUGCAUUCCUGCAUCGCUGUCUCAUGAAUUUAAUAUUAAAUAAUUCCCAACAUAUUUUCCCACUAUACUUGUUUCCAAACAUACUUUCAAAUAUUUUCUAAACCCACAUAUAACCCCAAAACAGCUUCAAGUGAUUUCAAUUUCUUUGUUGAUGUAGCCAUGUUAAGUAGCCAGUCGAUUUGAACCCCAGUUCAUUUCCAUACUCAUACUCAUUUUGAAACAUAAUGUUUGUGUGAACUAAUAUCCUCACAAAUAUUUUUAGUGAAAUAUUUAGGAUGAAAUCAUCCCAGUUGGGUUAAAUACUUAUUAUUCAAAUACUGUAGGUUUGAAUAUUAAACUAAUCUCACAGCUUUCUUAAGUUUGGUCCCCAUCCCCACCAGUCUGUUUUUACGCUUAACUAUUGAAAUGGGGUGUAAGGGAUCAGACUAGGCUUUUAUAGCAUUAUCAAUUUUCAAAAGCUUUAGAAAAAUUAUACAAUUUUAGGUCACUUGAGUAAACUCAGAUGACAUAUUGCUAUUGAUCUGCAUCUGUUGUAGUCCGUCGACAUUAACAAUUGAACAUUUUUAACUAAAUUCUAUAACUGAAAGAUGAAGAUACCGCACAGCGAUCAAUCUACGAUUCAAAUAACGGAAUUCUUUUCAAAUUUAGUAUGAAGCACACAAAUUUACAUUAAACCUUCUUGACAUAGUGCAUAUUCAAGUUUGUUAAAAUCAUUUCCCCGGGAGUUAUGGUGUGGUAACAAUAGGGGGUCAAAGUUUUAUAUGCUAGCUGAUAUAAAGGAAAAUUCUUUAAAGAUAUCUCUUGAACUAUUUAAGCUAGGGCUUUCAUAUCUUGUAUAUACAAUUUUUAUGGCAAAACAAAUCUGACCUAUUCAGUAUGUCCUGAACUACAUUGUGUUUAAGGUAGAUCUUUCAUAUAUAUUAUAUAUUAUGAAUUUCUUAUGAUAAAACCUUUCAUCUUGUUGAGGAGCCUCUCACCUCUGGUUGGCGCGGGUUUGAAUCCUGCUCGCACCGGUAAUUGAGAAAGUUUCCCAGUUUACUCUCGGAAGGUCGGUGGUCUCUUCCCAGGUACAUUGUAUCUGGGUUCUCUCUUCCACCAAUAAAAACUGGGCACCACCAGAUAACUGAAAAAUUGUUGAGUGUGGCGGAAAACAGUUAAAACAAUCAAUCAUAUUAUGUUAUUUGACCUUGUGACCCUGAACUCUGAGUUUGACAUACUUUUAAGAAAGUAUAACGUAUUAAGUAUAUCCAGGACUAUUUUAGAUAGGGCUUUUAUGUUUUGUAUAUUGAUUACUUAUGGCAAGGUCUUUCAUAUCAUACCAAGACCUACGACUUUUUACCUUGGUCUUAUCCAGAACAGCAAUAUCAUGCUAGUCAUAUCUUUGUCUUAUAUGAUUUCAUUUUAGUAAUGUUGUGUUCUUUAGAGCUAGAUUUGGGUCACAUUAUUCAUGAGAAUAAAGAUUGAUAAAAUAGCAUUUAAAAAUCAAAACAGCAGGGCCAAGAUGACUCAGGUGAGCGAUGUGGCCCAUGGGCCUCUUGUUGAUUUUGAUAUUUCUACCUAUAUCAUUUGUAUGAGAAAUGGAACUCCUUUUUUUCUUUUACAAAUACAUGUAUUAUCAUAUGGAUCCAUCUUUGUUGAUUAUUUAAUCAAAGGACAUAUUCAAUGUAUUAAAUGUAAAUUUAUGGAUAUGUCUGUGGUUGAAUUACUUAUGUAUGUAUGUAUACAUUUUUCUCGCACAUGCAAUUACAUAUAUGAUGUAUAUAUAUUUACUAAUUGUACAUGUAAUAUCCCCUGUUAUAUAAUAAAAUAUAUGACUGAGAAUAAAA